UAGCCUAGUGGUUCAGGCUUUGGAUCGCCAAUCCGGAGACGGCGGGUUCGAUUCCCGU
rnacentral:tRNA from 1 species